rnacentral:rRNA from 1 species
GAUGAACGCUGGCGGCGUGCCUAAUACAUGCAAGUCGAGCGAACAGACGAGGAGCUUGCUCCUCUGACGUUAGCGGCGGACGGGUGAGUAACACGUGGAUAACCUACCUAUAAGACUGGGAUAACUUCGGGAAACCGGAGCUAAUACCGGAUAAUAUAUUGAACCGCAUGGUUCAAUAGUGAAAGACGGUUUUGCUGUCACUUAUAGAUGGAUCCGCGCCGCAUUAGCUAGUUGGUAAGGUAACAGCUUACCAAGGCAACGAUGCGUAGCCGACCUGAGAGGGUGAUCGGCCACACUGGAACUGAGACACGGUCCAGACUCCUACGGGAGGCAGCAGUAGGGAAUCUCCCGCAAUGGGCGAAAGCCUGACGGAGCAACGCCGCGUGAGUGAUGAAGGUCUUCGGAUCGUAAAACUCUGUUAUUAGGGAAGAACAAAUGUGUAAGUAACUAUGCACGUCUUGACGGUACCUAAUCAGAAAGCCACGGCUAACUACGUG